rnacentral:snoRNA from 1 species
ACGACCUUACUUGAACAGGAUCUGUUCUAUAGGAUCGUACUACUGUGUCCUUAUAUUCUAAGGAGACAGGAACCUAAGUCUGGUGGAUGACAUGUGACCGUGUGAUCAGAGCGUGAUUAACGGUUCUGUGAUGGGAACUUCGGUGACCACUGCAGUUGGCUGUAGAGGAUCGUUCCCGGAUUCACUUGUGAGCCGGGAUGGUCACACGGUUGUCUGACAGAUU